rnacentral:rRNA from 1 species
UGCAAGUCGAGCGCGAACGGACCCUUCGGGGUUCUAGUAGAGCGGCGAAAGGGUGAGUAAUGUAUAGGCAACGUACCCUCGGGACCGGAAUAGCUGCUGGAAACGGCAGGUAAUGCUGGAUGGUCAGGAGAGGUGGCAUCAUCCCUCCUGUAAACGGUUGGGCAACCUUCUGCCCGAGGAGCGGCCUAUGCCCUAUUAGCUUGUUGGUGAGGUAAUGGCUCACCAAGGCUUCGAUGGGUAGCCGGACUGAGAGGUUGGCCGGUCACACUGGGACUGAGACACUGCCCAGACUCCUACGGGAGGCUGCAGUCGAGAAUCUUCCGCAAUGGGCGCAAGCCUGACGGGGCGACGCCGCGUGUGGGAUGAAGGCCUUCGGGUUGUAAACCACUGUUGCACGCUAGGAAAUCCCAGGAGUUAACAGCUGUCUGGGUUGACCAACGUGUGAGGAAGCACAGGCUAACUCCGUGCCAGCAGCCGCGGUAAUACGGAGUGUGCAAGCGUUACUCGGAAUCACUGGGCAUAAAGAGCACGUAGGCGGGCAGCAUAGUCGGUUGUGAAAUCCCCCGGCUCAACCGGGGAACUGCAACCGAAACUGGCUGCCUUGAGGACGAGAGGGGUGAGCGGAACUUCUGGUGGAGCGGUGAAAUGCGUAGAUAUCAGAAGGAACACCGGUGGUGAA